rnacentral:rRNA from 1 species
GACGAACGCUGGCGGCGUGCCUAAUACAUGCAAGUCGAGCGGACUUUCAAGAAGCUUGCUUUUUGAAAGUUAGCGGCGGACGGGUGAGUAACACGUGGGCAACCUGCCUGCAAGACGGGGAUAACUCCGGGAAACCGGGGCUAAUACCGGAUAAUAUCUUCCUUCGCAUGAAGGAAGGUUGAAAGGCGGCGCAAGCUGCCGCUUGCAGAUGGGCCCGCGGCGCAUUAGCUAGUUGGUGAGGUAACGGCUCACCAAGGCGACGAUGCGUAGCCGACCUGCGAGGGGGAACGGACACACUGGGACUGAGACACGGCCCAGACUCCUACGGGAGGAAGCAGUAGGGAAUCUUCCGCAAUGGACGAAAGUCUGACGGGGCAACGCCGCGUGAGCGAAGAAGGUCAUCGGAUGGUAAAGCUCUGUUGUCAGGGAAGAACAAGUACCGUUCGAAGAGGGCGGGACCUUGACGGUACCUGACCAGAAAGCCACGGCUAACUACGUG